UACGAAGGGUGCAAGCGUUAUUCGGAAUCACUGGGCGUAAAGGGUGUGUAGACGGUUUAUUAAGUUCGUCGUUAAAGGCUCCGGCCUAACUGGAGUACCGCGAUGAAAACUGGUUGACUAGAGGGUGAGAGAGAGAAGUGGAAUUCCUGGAGUAGCGGUAAAAUGCGUGGAUCUCAGGAGGAACACCAAUGGCGAAGGCAGCUUCUUGGCUCAUUCCUGACGUUGAGGCACGAAAGCGUGGGGAGCAAACAGG
rnacentral:rRNA from 1 species